GGGGACGUAGUAUAACCUGGCCAGAAUAGCCGGCUCCAGACCGGCUGAUCCGCGUUCGAAUCGCGGCGUCCCCA
rnacentral:tRNA from 1 species